CAUGAAUGUCAUGAUGUUAAAUAUAUCAUUUUCACUUCAAACAUCAGGAAUUCAAGGGAAUACCAGGGAAAAGUUGCCGCAAGAAAGUCCCAAUCAUUCACAGCAGGUUAUUUAAGACAGUCCCAU